AAUAGAUACCCCGGUAGUCCACGCCGUAAACGAUGAUCACUCGCUGUUGGCGGAUAUACAGUCAGUGGCUAAGCAAAAGCAUUAAGUGAUCCACCUGGGGAGUACGGCCGCAAGGCUGAAACUCAAAGGAAUUGACGGGGGCCCGCACAAGCGGAGGAACAUGUGGUUUAAUUCGAUGAUACGCGAGGAACCUUACCUGGGCUUAAAUGCAGAGUGCAUUCUCGGGAAACCGGGAUUUUCUUCGGAACUUUCUGCAAGGUGCUGCAUGGUUGUCGUCAGCUCGUGCCGUGAGGUGUCGGGUUAAGUCCCAUAACGAGCGCAACCCUUAUCGUUAGUUGCCAGCGGGGUAAUGCCGGGAACUCUAGCGAAACUGCCGGUGUAAACCGAGAGGAAGGUGGGGAUGACGUCAAAUCAGCACGGCCCUUAUGUCCAGGGCUACACACGUGUUACAAUGGCCGGUACAGAGGGCAGCUAUGCUGUGAGGCAGUGCGAAUCUCGAAAGCCGGUCUCAGUUCGGAUCGGAGU
rnacentral:rRNA from 1 species